rnacentral:rRNA from 1 species
GAUGAACGCUGGCGGCGUGCCUAAUACAUGCAAGUCGAGCGAACGGACGAGAAGCUUGCUUCUCUGAUGUUAGCGGCGGACGGGUGAGUAACACGUGGAUAACCUACCUAUAAGACUGGGAUAACUUCGGGAAACCGGAGCUAAUACCGGAUAAUAUUUUGAACCGCAUGGUUCAAAAGUAAAAGACGGUCUUGCUGUCACUUAUAGAUGGAUCCGCGCUGCAUUAGCUAGUUGGUAAGGUAACGGCUUACCAAGGCAACGAUGCAUAGCCGACCUGAGAGGGUGAUCGGCCACACUGGAACUGAGACACGGUCCAGACUCCUACGGGAGGCAGCAGUAGGGAAUCUUCCGCAAUGGGCGAAAGCCUGACGGAGCAACGCCGCGUGAGUGAUGAAGGUCUUCGGAUCGUAAAACUCUGUUAUUAGGGAAGAAUAUAUGUGUAAGUAACUGUGCACAUCUUGACGGUACCUAAUCAGAAAGCCACGGCUAACUACGUGCCAGCAGCCGCGGUAAUACGUAGGUGGCAAGCGUUAUCCGGAAUUAUUGGGCGUACAGCGCGCGUAUGCGGUUUUUUAAGUCUGAUGUGAAAGCCCACGGCUCAACCGUGGAGGGUCAUUGGAAACUGGAAAACUUGAGUGCAGAAGAGGAAAGUGGAAUUCCAUGUGUAGCGGUGAAAUGCGCAGAGAUAUGGAGGAACACCAGUGGCGAAGGCGACUUUCUGGUCUGUAACUGACGCUGAUGUGCGAAAGCGUGGGGAUCAAACAGGAUUAGAUACCCUGGUAGUCCACGCCGUAAACGAUGAGUGCUAAGUGUUAGGGGGUUUCCGCCCCUUAGUGCUGCAGCUAACGCAUUAAGCACUCCGCCUGGGGAGUACGACCGCAAGGUUGAAACUCAAAGGAAUUGACGGGGACCCGCACAAGCGGUGGAGCAUGUGGUUUAAUUCGAAGCAACGCGAAGAACCUUACCAAAUCUUGACAUCCUUUGACAACUCUAGAGAUAGAGCCUUCCCCUUCGGGGGACAAAGUGACAGGUGGUGCAUGGUUGUCGUCAGCUCGUGUCGUGAGAUGUUGGGUUAAGUCCCGCAACGAGCGCAACCCUUAAGCUUAGUUGCCAUCAUUAAGUUGGGCACUCUAAGUUGACUGCCGGUGACAAACUGGAGGAAGGUGGGGAUGACGUCAAAUCAUCAUGCCCCUUAUGAUUUGGGCUACACACGUGCUACAAUGGACAAUAACAAGGGCAGCGAAACCGCGAGGUCAAGCAAAUCCCAUAAAGUUGUUCUCAGUUUCGAUUGUAGUCUGCAACUCGACUACAUGAAGCUGGAAUCGCUUGUAAUCGUAGAAUCACAUGCUACGGUGAAUACUUUCCCGGGUCU